CCUGGCUUAGGAUGAACGCUGGCGGCGUGCUUAAUACAUGCAAGUCGAACGAAGCGCCCUGUACAGAUUCUUCGGAAUGAAGUUUGGGUGACUUAGUGGCGGACGGGUGAGUAACGCGUGGGUAACCUGCCUCAUGCAGGGGGACAACAGCUGGAAACGGCUGCUAAUACCGCAUAAGCGCACGAGAUCGCAUGAUCAGGUGUGAAAAGAUUUAUCGGCAUGAGAUGGACCCGCGUCUGAUUAGAUAGUUGGUGGGGUAACGGCCCACCAAGUCAACGAUCAGUAGCCGGCUUGAGAGAGUGACCGGCCACAUUGGGACUGAGACACGGCCCAGACUCCUACGGGAGGCAGCAGUAGGGAAUAUUGCACAAUGGGGGAAACCCUGAUGCAAGCGACGCCGCGUGAGUGAUGAAGUAUUUCGGUAUGUAAAGCUCUAUCAGCAGGGAAGAUAAUGACGGUACCUGACUAAGAAGCCCCGGCUAACUACGUGCCAGCCGCGGC
rnacentral:rRNA from 1 species